AUGAACGCUAGCUACAGGUCUUAACACAUGACAAGUUGAGGGGCAGCAUGGUCUUAGCUUGCUAAGGCCGAUGGCGACCGGCGCACGGGUGAAGUAACACGUAUCCAACCUGCCGUCUACUCUUGGACAGCCUUCUGAAAGGAAGAUUAAUACAAGAUGGCAUCAUGAGUCCGCAUGUUCACAUGAUUAAAGGUAUUCCGGUAGACGAUGGGGAUGCGUUCCAUUAGAUAGUAGGCGGGGUAACGGCCCACCUAGUCUUCGAUGGAUAGGGGUUCUGAGAGGAAGGUCCCCCACAUUGGAACUGAGACACGGUCCAAACUCCUACGGGAGGCAGCAGUGAGGAAUAUUGGUCAAUGGGCGAGAGCCUGAACCAGCCAAGUAGCGUGAAGGAUGACUGCCCUAUGGGUUGUAAACUUCUUUUAUAAAGGAAUAAAGUCGGGUAUGUAUACCCGUUUGCAUGUACUUUAUGAAUAAGGAUCGGCUAACUCCGUG
rnacentral:rRNA from 1 species